GGCCCAGACUCCUACGGGAGGCAGCAGUCGAGAAUCAUUCACAAUGGGGGAAACCCUGAUGCAGCGACGCCGCGUGUGGGAAGACGGUCCUCUGGAUUGUAAACCACUGUCCCCAGGGACGAAGAUGACGGUACCUGGGGAGGAAGCUCCGGCUAACUACGUGCCAGCAGCCGCGGUAAUACGUAGGGAGCGAGCGUUGUCCGGAAUUACUGGGUGUAAAGGGAGCGUAGGCGGGGAUGCAAGUUGGGUGUCAAAACUACCGGCUCAACUGGUAGUCGCACUCAAAACUGCAGCUCUUGAGUGAAGUAGAGGCAGGCGGAAUUCCUAGUGUAGCGGUGAAAUGCGUAGAUAUUAGGAGGAACACCAGUGGCGAAGGCGGCCUGCUGGACUGCAACUGACGUUGAGGCUCGAAAGCGUGGGGAGCAAACAGGAUUAGAUACCCCCGUAU
rnacentral:rRNA from 1 species